rnacentral:lncRNA from 1 species
GCCAUCCCCUGAUGUUUCAAUAUCUGUGUGUAAGUGGCAAUUAUCAGUAAAAUACAUUAUGCCACUGAAUUUGGUUCAAGUUGAAUGUAAUAAUACUUACAUAUGGAUAUAUUCAAAUAAGCAGACUGAUUCAAAUUAUCGGUCUUGUCUUUGUCUAUUUUAGGACUUUAGUAUUUUAAUAGAGCUGUCUUCUGAAGACUGUAGCAGCAGUAGACUCCUUUCGCUCUUGAAAAUUCAGUAUUAUUUGUAAGAUAGAGAUGUUUCAUAAGUAAAAGUGGAGUACUCUUAGUGAAAUAGUGUGCUCUCAGAAUCUGGGAAAGGACAAUCUAGUCUCUAACAACAUAAGAGCUUCUCCAACUAGAAACUUCUUGGGGAGCUCUUGGAAGAUGGGUCUGAAUUUUAACCUCUUGGAUGCAGUGGAACUGAACAGGUUUUUGAAAAAGGAUUUUGUAGACUUCAGUGACAGAUGUUGAAAAGCCAUAUAUAAGUGGGGAAUGGUCAAGCAUUAUAUACUAGAGUGGAUAGAAUGUACUACACCGAAAGGGUUUUCAUUUCUGCACACUUCACAUUAUUUAUAAAAAUAUGAUUGUAUCAUUACUGGGUUAAAAAGCUCAUCUUCCUAAUGGUACAUUUCAUAAGCAGCAAACCAGUGCAAUUCCAUAAUCUUUUGGGGGCAGUACCAAAUAGUAAAUUGGCAUUAUAGCAUAACAGCUUACUCUUAAUUGUACCUAAGAGUAACCAAGCACCAUAGUUUAAUGAAUUUUGAAGACUAACAUCAAAUUCAACUUGUUAUCUGUUGUAGCUAACAAGAAUUUUGAGAUACACACCAGUUGAGGGGCAUUGUAAAAACGCCCCUUUUUGCCAAAAUCAAGUUCUUUAAGGUCUUGCUAAUUAUUCUGUUUCCUUAGGGGUACUUUGCAGUAUUUAAAAAAAUUAUCAGUAGCAGUUACUUCUAAACUCAGUGCAGAAUAUUUUGCUAAGCAUUUUACUAUAUUACAACAUGUCCUACUAUGGUAUUUUAUAAUAAAACCAAAUUUGCAAGUAUUCUCGCAUAUUACAUAUGGUUAUACCCAAACACCACUUUCUAUCAGUCUAUUACUAUAUAGGAAUAUUUUUUAAAAAAUACUACGUGUUUUGGUCCUAAUGAGGAAGCAUAUUGCAAUAUAUGACAUUGAUCUUUUUUUUUUAAUGAAAAUCCACUUAAGUGUUGGGCAGGGAAACUAAGCUAUGAUUGUAUAUGUUCUUCUCAAAGAAACAAUGGCAAAUGACAAUUCAGAAAGACGCAGUCUUUGUGAUAAGUUAGUGUGCAGACCAUGACCAGGAAGGAUCAACUUAGAAAUGCUCAUCGGAAUGUAGCUUCUGUUAUCUGUUGUUCCACAGGCAGGAAGGACAGCUGUUUUGGCUUCACAGAGGGGGUUGUUAACCGUCUACUGCAUGGUGUAAGGAAAUCUCUUCAGAAGCAAAACAGACUCAGAAACUUCGUGAUGCACCUUAUUAUUUUUUUUACCCGCUGUUACAAUAUCCCUGAACCCUGUGAUCUUUCCAGCGUGUUUUCUGUAGUAGUUUUAUACUGUAGAAAAUAAUCUGCCAUGAACUGGACUUUAUUGUGUUGCAAGUGAUGUCUGUGGCUUACUGCCCUCCUGCUCCACAUGGUCCACUUAAUUAUGUAAAAACCUGUGAUAAUCCUUUGCCUUAAAGUCAGAUGCUAAGUAAUUUCUGUGUUCUAAUUAAUAAUUCUUAGCUUCACUCUUAAUUUUCCUUUAAAGCUAACUCUGGUGUCAAAUAAAAUAUUACACAAAUCCUC